GUCCAGACUCCUACGGGAGGCAGCAGUGGGGAAUAUUGCACAAUGGGGGAAACCCUGAUGCAGCGACGCCGCGUGAGCGAUGAAGUAUUUCGGUAUGUAAAGCUCUAUCAGCAGGGAAGAAAAUGACGGUACCUGACUAAGAAGCCCCGGCUAACUACGUGCCAGCAGCCGCGGUAAUACGUAGGGGGCAAGCGUUAUCCGGAUUUACUGGGUGUAAAGGGAGCGUAGACGGCUGUGCAAGCCAGAUGUGAAAGCCCGGGGCUCAACCCCGGGACUGCAUUUGGAACUGUGUGGCUGGAGUGUCGGAGAGGCAGGCGGAAUUCCUAGUGUAGUGGUGAAAUGCGUAGAUAUUAGGAGGAACACCAGUGGCGAAGGCGGCCUGCUGGACGAUGACUGACGUUGAGGCUCGAAAGCGUGGGGAGCAAACAGGAUUAGAUACCCGGGUA
rnacentral:rRNA from 1 species